GUGGGGAAUUUUGGACAAUGGGCGCAAGCCUGAUCCAGCCAUUCCGCGUGCAGGAUGAAGGCCUUCGGGUUGUAAACUGCUUUUGUACAGAACGAAAAGCCUCUGGUUAAUACCCGGGGGUCAUGACGGUACCGUAAGAAUAAGCACCGGCUAACUACGUGCCAGCAGCCGCGGUAAUACGUAGGGUGCGAGCGUUAAUCGGAAUUACUGGGCGUAAAGCGUGCGCAGGCGGUGAUGUAAGACAGUUGUGAAAUCCCCGGGCUCAACCUGGGAACUGCAUCUGUGACUGCAUUGCUGGAGUGCGGCAGAGGGGGAUGGAAUUCCGCGUGUAGCAGUGAAAUGCGUAGAUAUGCGGAGGAACACCGAUGGCGAAGGCAAUCCCCUGGGCCUGCACUGACGCUCAUGCACGAAAGCGUGGGGAGCAAACAGGAUUAGAAACCCUUGGAGUCC
rnacentral:rRNA from 1 species